rnacentral:rRNA from 1 species
AAGUCGAACGAGUUCUCGUUGAUGAUCGGUGCUUGCACCGAGAUUCAACAUGGAACGAGUGGCGGACGGGUGAGUAACACGUGGGUAACCUGCCCUUAAGUGGGGGAUAACAUUUGGAAACAGAUGCUAAUACCGCAUAGAUCCAAGAACCGCAUGGUUCUUGGCUGAAAGAUGGCGUAAGCUAUCGCUUUUGGAUGGACCCGCGGCGUAUUAGCUAGUUGGUGAGGUAAUGGCUCACCAAGGCGAUGAUACGUAGCCGAACUGAGAGGUUGAUCGGCCACAUUGGGACUGAGACACGGCCCAAACUCCUACGGGAGGCAGCAGUAGGGAAUCUUCCACAAUGGACGCAAGUCUGAUGGAGCAACGCCGCGUGAGUGAAGAAGGCUUUCGGGUCGUAAAACUCUGUUGUUGGAGAAGAAUGGUCGGCAGAGUAACUGUUGCCGGCGUGACGGUAUCCAACCAGAAAGCCACGGCUAACUACGUGCCAGCAGCCGCGGUAAUACGUAGGUGGCAAGCGUUAUCCGGAUUUAUUGGGCGUAAAGCGAGCGCAGGCGGUUUUUUAAGUCUGAUGUGAAAGCCCUCGGCUUAACCGAGGAAGCGCAUCGGAAACUGGGAAACUUGAGUGCAGAAGAGGACAGUGGAACUCCAUGUGUAGCGGUGAAAUGCGUAGAUAUAUGGAAGAACACCAGUGGCGAAGGCGGCUGUCUGGUCUGUAACUGACGCUGAGGCUCGAAAGCAUGGGUAGCGAACAGGAUUAGAUACCCUGGUAGUCCAUGCCGUAAACGAUGAAUGC